rnacentral:rRNA from 1 species
AUGGCAAAAUUCUGGUGGGGCAGCUCCAUUGAUAGGAACUCCCUAUGUUGGAUCGCUUGGGAUAAACUAGCUACACCAAAGUGCAAAGGCAGAAUGGGAUUACGCGACUUUCGGUUGUUUAACUUGGCGCUUUUAGGGAAGCACGAAUGGCGUUUCAUGAUGAAUCCCAACUCUCUAUGCGCCAAGGUUAUGAAAGGUAGAUAUUUCCCCGACUCGAACUUCCUAAAUGCAUCGGUACCUAAAUCCUCCUCUGCCACCUGGAGGGCAAUCAUAGCAGGCCGGGAAGCUUUGUAGAUAGGGCUACUGAAACGAGUUGGCUCGGGAACUUCCAUCUCUGUAUGGGAAGAUAAGUGGACUCCUUCAACUGUUUCUAUGACUCCAUUGAUGCGACUAGCAAACGUGGUGAUCCAAACUGUCAGCGAGCUCAUUGAUACAACUAGCUAG